rnacentral:rRNA from 1 species
GACGGAGGGUGCAAGCGUUGUUCGGAAUUACUGGGCGUAAAGGGCUCGUAGGCGGCCAACUAAGUCAGACGUGAAAUCCCUCAGCUUAACUGGGGAACUGCGUCUGAUACUGGAUGGCUUGGAUUUGGGAGAGGGAUGCGGAAUUCCAGGUGUAGCGGUGAAAUGCGUAGAUAUCUGGAGGAACACCGGUGGCGAAGGCGGCAUCCUGGACCAACACUGACGCUGAGGAGCGAAAGCCAGGGGAGCAAACGGG